GCUCUUUGAAUCCACUUUUGAGAUCUAGUUGCAUUUCAUUUUAGCGAUCUUUCUAUUUUUACUGUGCGUUUGGAUUUUUCUUUUUUUAUUUCUUGGGAUUUGCAUUUUGGAUGCAAAUCAUAUGCCAAUACAAUACGUUGAGAGACUUUAAAGAUAGUUGUUGCCUGAAUUUAAGCAGCACGCCAUUUGUAGGUGGUUGUUGAACAUCUUCUGUUGGAAUUGAAAAUUAAGGCGAUGUAGGUUUGUCUAUUAUGAGCUGAAUUGCUUUCUAUGUAUGCCUAUCUUUAUGGCAACAGCUUAGAAACUGAAAUUUCAGGUUGAUCCUUUCCCAUUUCUGGUUAGGAAGGAACUAAAGCUCAGCGACAUUAAUUCCUAGGUUAUGCAUACCAGCAAUAAAACUCAGAUGCACCAAAUUUAUUGUGUGCAUCAAUUAGUCUUGUUACUUUAGUUCCCUCUAGUUCUUAAGCUGGUAGCAAUUUGAGUAAAUCACACAGAGCAUACGUGGAGUUUCUAGUAUGGUUGUCACAAAAAAAGGUGAAAAUCUUGCCUUUGGGGUUACCUUUUUUCAACUUAUGUUAGCCACUAUUGAUGCUAUAGAAACCUUUAGAACCUAUGCUGCAGGUUUGUUAAAUUGUUAUAAAACUUAAUUAUUUAUAGGGUUUGAUGACUUUGGGUUUUAUUUAUUUUUAGAAUUUAUUGUUUGUUGUUCUUUUUCCUUCCUGAUGUUUUGUGUAUUUUUCCGUUGUCACAUAAUUUUGUCGUGCUGCUAUACAUGUAUUAUUUGUUAUCUGUACUUUCCGUCUGUUACAUCUUCACAGCAUACAGUAAAUUACACACACAUGUAGAGAUGCACUGACCAAACCAUGUAGAAGAUUCAUGUUUCCAAUAACAGUUACUAGGUUGGAUAUGAUUUUAGGGCAAAUUAGAGUUCCGUUGAUGGAAGUUCAUUGCUUGUGUUUCUUUAGAUGGAGUUGACAAUACGAAGUAAAAUGCUAUUUCAAUGUUUUAACUGGAUUAUUGCAAAUGUAAACUUUCUGUUUUUCUUCUCUUUUCUUUUUCUCCUAUGGGAAUUGGAUAAAUAUAGGUAGCUAGCUACACAGAAUAAAAGGUUUGCGUUUCUCGGAUUAUGAGUUAGGCAACCUCGAAAUAGAAGGGUUGUUUAAUCAUUUGCAUCCAGAAAUUUCCAUCCUAAUAAUGGUGUAUAGAAGUUCUAAUUAUAUGUUUAAUUAGAAACCCUGUGAAAACAUAAUAAACGUGGAUAGUGGAUAUGCCCUAUAUGUUUCGUUUUUGUAACUUUAAGGUUUAGGACUGCAGUUUAUAUUUGCUUCUGGUUUCUUGAAUCUCUCUCGCCUUCAGAAUUGGAUUUUUUUGGCCCAUAAAUCUACUUACAGGAGACCAAGUUGUCACCAGGCAUAAAAAGACGAAUAACGAACCAUACUAAUCAAUGUUCUGCAGUGAUCGAUCACCCCCCAAAAAAAUAAAAAAUAAAAAUAAAAAAGGAAGGAAUGGGCCAAGGGGAAUUGAAAGUGAGGACACGCGGCCAAGUCCAGGGUCGAGGCAAUUAAGCAAACCAGUCCAGUCCACUAACUCUAUAAAUUCUAAAUUAUAAUACAAAAGGAAACGACAUCGUAUGAAGAAGAAAACCUUCUUAUCUUAAAAGGCGCCUGAUCUCGCAAAUGAUAAAACCUUAACCCUCGGGCCCUCAGAGUCCCAAACGCGAGUGAGAGCAGAUCUGAGAAAAUGAGAGAUGUGAAACACAGAGAAGGUCUGGAAACCCUAACAAUGGCAUUGUCUCUGUGAUCGGAGCCUUCGCUGUAGAUCAGAGACAUGAGCGUGAAGAAAGAGAGAGACGACGAGGCAUGAAGAAAAGCUCCUCCAAUGCGAUUCUUGUUUUGCGAGAUUUAACGCCUCGAUGACCGCCAUUGAUCCACGAUCGGAUCCGUUCAAGAGCUCACCGUUGAAAUCGCGUAGUAAUUAACACCAAGACCAGAGAUCUGAUGGGGCUAGGUACUCCCUGUCUGCUUGCUCAAGAUGCGAUAGGGUGCGAUGUGGACUGAUAGAGGCACUGACAGCGGGCCUUCCAUAUCUUUAAGGUUUUACUCCUUACUCAUUCAAGCAUGUGGAUGUAUGUUUUUCUUUUGUAAAAUUUCAUUUUUUGUUUUUAAAUGGAAACAAAAUGAACAAAAAUAAGUUUCCAGAGGCAAAUAGCAUAGUAUUGUUGAAAACUUGAACGAUAUAUCUGACAAAAACAAAAUUGACACACAUUAUGGGAGC